rnacentral:ncRNA from 2 species
AUCGUUCAUCUGCAAAAGCAGACGGAAGUAAGAAGUAAACAUUCUGAAGGAACGCGCC